CCUACGGGUGGCAGCAGUGGGGAAUAUUGGACAAUGGGGGUAACCCUGAUCCAGCGACGCCGCGUGAGUGAUGAAGUAUUUCUGUAUGUAAAGCUCUAUCAGCAGGGAAGAAAGGCAUGACGGUACCUGACUAAGAAGCCCCGGCGAACUACAUGCCAGCAGCCGCGGUACUACGGAGUGUGCAAGCGUUAUCCGGAUUUAGUGGGUGUAAGGGGAGCGUAGACGGCGAUGAAAGUCUGAGGUGCGCGGCGGGGGCCCAACCACCGGACUGCUUGGGAAACUGUAUGGCUGGAGUGUAGGAGAGGUAAGUGGAAUUCCUAGUGUAGCGGUGAAAUGCGUAGAUAUUAGGCGGAACCCCAGUGGCGAAGGCGGCUUACUGGACUGUAACUGACGUUGUGGCUCGAAAGCGUGGGGAGCAAACAGGAUUAGAUACCCCAGUAGUC
rnacentral:rRNA from 1 species